CAGCAGCCGCGGUAAUGCGGAGGGAGCUAGCGUUGUUCGGAAUCACUGGGCGUAAAGCGCACGUAGGCGGCUAUUCAAGUCAGGGGUGAAAGCCCGGGGCUCAACCCCGGGACUGCCUUUGAAACUAGAUAGCUUGAAUCUUGGAGAGGCGAGUGGAAUUCCGAGUGUAGAGGUGAAAUUCGUAGAUAUUCGGAAGAACACCAGUGGCGAAGGCGACUCGCUGGACAAGUAUUGACGCUGAGGUGCGAAAGCGUGGGGAGCAAACAGGAUUAGAUACCCCAGUAGUCCCUGUCUCUUAUAC
rnacentral:rRNA from 1 species